rnacentral:rRNA from 1 species
UGAGGCGUGGCUUCCGGAGCUAACGCGUUAAGUCGACCGCCUGGGGAGUACGGCCGCAAGGUUAAAACUCAAAUGAAUUGACGGGGGCCCGCACAAGCGGUGGAGCAUGUGGUUUAAUUCGAUGCAACGCGAAGAACCUUACCUGGUCUUGACAUCCACGGAAGUUUUCAGAGAUGNGAAUGUGCCUUCGGGAACCGUGAGACAGGUGCUGCAUGGCUGUCGUCAGCUCGUGUUGUGAAAUGUUGGGUUAAGUCCCGCAACGAGCGCAACCCUUAUCCUUUGUUGCCAGCGGUCCGGCCGGGAACUCAAAGGAGACUGCCAGUGAUAAACUGGAGGAAGGUGGGGAUGACGUCAAGUCAUCAUGGCCCUUACGACCAGGGCUACACACGUGCUACAAUGGCGCAUACAAAGAGAAGCGACCUCGCGAGAGCAAGCGGACCUCAUAAAGUGCGUCGUAGUCCGGAUUGGAGUCUGCAACUCGACUCCAUGAAGUCGGAAUCGCUAGUAAUCGUGGAUCAGAAUGCCACGGUGAAUACGUUCCCGGGCCUUGUACACACCGCCCGUC